rfam:Aedes albopictus isolate Foshan contig25674, whole genome shotgun sequence.
UAGCCUAGUGGUUAAGGCUAUAGAUCGUCAAUCUGGAGACGGCGGGUUUGAUUCCCGU